rnacentral:rRNA from 1 species
CCCUUAGAUGUCCGGGGCCGCACGCGCGCUACACUGAAGGAAUCAGCGUGGCUUUCUCCCUGACCCGAAAGGGUUGGGAAACCCGUUGAAUCUCCUUCGUGAUAGGGAUUGGGGCUUGAAAUUGUUCCCCAUGAACGAGGAAUUCCCAGUAAGCGCGAGUCAUAAGCUCGCGUUGAUUACGUCCCUGCCCUUUGUACACACCGCCCGUCGCACCUACCGAUUGAAUGGUCCGGUGAAAUCUUCGGAUUGAGACUUUGUUUUCUUCACGGAAAACGCUGUUUUAAAAAGUUGAUUAAACCUUACCAUUUAGAGGAAGGUGAAGUCGUAACA